ensembl:snoRNA SNORA73 Small nucleolar RNA SNORA73 family
CCAAUGUGGAUACCCUGGGAGGUCACUCUCCCUGGGCUCUGCUCAAGUGAUGUAGGGGAGCAUAAGGCUCUACCCCAUGACAUACAGUCUCCUUUUACAUCACUGGAGAUGAAGCUGGGCUUUGUGUCUGCACCUACGUAUUCCUGCAACUCCUCAGAGUCCAUUAGACAGUGACUGAGAAGAUAAGCUAUGCAGGAAACAGUG